rnacentral:tRNA from 1 species
GGACGAUUAGCUCAGCUGGGAGAGCACCUGCCUUACAAGCAGGGGGUCGGCGGUUCGAGCCCGUCAUCGUCCACCA